CCCCCAUGAACUCUAAGCUUCAUCCCUCAGCGCUGGGAACUGUUCACAGACAGGCCAGGGGAUCUCCAUGCUCCCCAUCACAGGGGCCAUUUCUUGUUCUUCAUUUCUAAGGCUUAACCCAGCUGUUGUUCUAUUUGACCCCUUUCCUCUCCUGCUUCCCUGACUGACGUGCCUGCUUCUGUGCUGUGUUUUAUCUUCUCUAUCAUCAGUGCUACGAUGUUAGUUAGCAUGGCCCAAGACUUGCUCUGGGCCUUUUCCCCUCAAUGAUCCUUCUCUGUCUGAUCUCAAGCCCUUCACUUAAAUAUCCAUCUGUGAGCUGAUGAUUCGAAAAUUCUUCUCCUGACCCUAGACCUCUUCCCUUGGACCCCAGGCUUAUUUAUACAAUCAUCUAAUUGAUAGCAUCAGUUACAUAAUUCAUAGGAAUCUCAAAAGUAGUACACUGAAAAAUGAGUUCUUACUAAUUACUGCCCCAUGCCAUACAACCUGUUCCUUUGCAUUCUUCCCCAUGACUAUAGAUGGACCCCUUGCUCAUUUUUGAAAAAAGGAAAAGCAGCAAUGUGGCAGUCAGUUUUGAUUACUUCGUUUUCAUCUGUUUCUAAAGUACAAGAAGCCCACUGUUUUCCACCUCCAUGGCGUAUCUGAAACACAUCUACUUCUCUUCGACUCCAGAACUGUGGCCUCAGACCAAAUCAGGGUAGCCUCUCACCUGGGACACGGAAAGAAGAGAUGGUUGUGCAUCUAACACAGUGCGCUGCACAGUUGUUGGUGAACAGGUUCACAGAAGAAAUAAAACAAAACAGAACUUACUGAGUGUGUAGAAAGGCCUCUGACUUGGUGAAUGGGAGAAGAAACCAGGCUUCAGUGCAUUUGUAAUCACAAUAUCAAAAAGGUCUGCAAAAUCAUCCCUAAGAAGCAACAACAUUUUUCAUAAAAUUACUUUAAGGAACUGGAAAAGGUCCAAAGAAAAUAUGACUGUACCUUGCCUCUUUUAACACAGCAUCCUCACUCAUCCCCUGAUGCUUCACAGUUUUCUCACAGUCAGAGUGAGCUUUACACCAGGAAGCAAGGGUGGUUGAGCACCAGUCUUCCUGACAAUUCCCUGAAGUGUGAACAUAACAAAAAUGGAAAAGAGAAAUAAAAGCAAGAAAAACAGGCAAGGUAAAAGCAGCAUGGCGGCUCUACCUCCAGAGCUACCUUUCUCUGGAUGAGAAGGCAAUGCUCCCCAAGGAUUCUAAUGAGACAUCAGAAUGAAGAAUCACUGCUGUGAACAAAAGUAUAAGAAAAUGGGCACAUUACCAUUAUCUGCAUUCCUUGCAUGCUUCACUGGAAACCACAGGCUUUCAGAAGACAAAGACUUAAUUUUACACUAUACUAAUCUUAUUGGUAUAUAGGUUUGUGUAUAAUAAAGGCAAUAAAUGACUAUUAACUGCUGAUUUUCUUAAAUGUGACUGUGGCUAAUAAUAUUUACUCUUGAUUUAUACACAUUAAGCAUGGUAUUUUACAUUUAAUUAAGUGGUCUAAUUUUAGAAUAAUGGAUUUCCUAAGUGAUUGGAGAAUUCGUGGAGUAAAAGAGUAUGACAUGGGCUUUUUAAACGGAAAAUUGUUCACAUAGUUCAAAUGAGUAUGGACAAGCCAAGGAGAAUACCUUAUCUUUCCAGAGCCAUCAAACUGGGAAACCUUGGCCUGAAUGAAUAGUCUACAAAUUUUUGGGGGGGUGUAAUCAAUGUUUUAAAAUUUUUGAAUUUUAAUGUCUUUGGAUAGCAUUACAUAUGUUCUCUAAUAGCAUAUCUCAAUCCCCACCACAUCAUAUGCACUAUACUUGGCCUUAUUUAUUCUCUUGUUAGUAUCAGAGUUUGUGAAAUGUAAUUUUUCCUACGAGGUCAGAAUGAGUCAUUCUAAAGGAAUCUAGUUUCCUGUUUCUGGUAUGAUUACUAGAUACAAGUGGUACCUUGGUUCAUGAGCUUGAUUCUUUUCACGAUUCUGGUCACAAACUGAGUUGGAUGACAACAGAAUCAAAUUCAAUGGUUAGGUUCAAUGUUGACCUUAUGGGGAAAUUUGAUUCGGUUCUUGUUCAGUUUGGUUUGUGAACAGAAUUACAGAAAGAAUUGAUUUUGUGAACUGAGGAACCAGUGUACUGUAAUCUCACAGAACAACAAUAUAAAACCGUGUUUAAACUGUUUUAAAAGCCUGCCUUGUCUUGUUCCAAAGAAAAGAGUCCUUUGAUGAGGACAGUAUAGCUGGAAGGUAUAGCAGACACAUCUCAUGAUGGAACUGCACACGAUAUCAGCUGGACAGGUGGUUAGCUUAGCUGGACAGCGUGACCUAGUGAAAUAAAAUUUCACAUGGACAGGUGUAAUCUUAGGUUGAAAAUUCAGUCCUACAAGUACAGUAACAGAGGAGCUAUUGCUCUCUGGCAGUUUCAAAAUAUGGAGGCUACCUUCAGCUCAGGCCCCAGACUGUAGGCAAGUGUAACUGAAAAGUCUGGGGAACCAUCUUUUAUAAUUGUUUAGUUAACAGGGCACUUUUGGCCCUAUGUUUCUGUUUUUCUUUUACUUUUUGGUACCAGGGAUCGAACUCGGGACCUUAUGUUUUCAAGGCAGGCACCAGAACAACUGAGCUAAAUCCCUGGGCCUCUAUUAUGUUUCUGGAAAAGUAUCUGUACCCCAGAAAAUUAGUUAAUAAAGUUCCUCCUAAUAGGCUAAGGUCAGUAUGAUGUUCAGAACCAGGGCAGCAAUUCCCACUCUGAAUCACUCUCAGACUACAGGUGAUCAUGCUCAAUUUUGGGUGACAUUAUUCAAGAAAGAGUGUCCAGAGAAGAAUAACCAUAUGUGGGCAUGGACACUGGAUAAAAGACA